rnacentral:miRNA from 1 species
UGACUAGAAUGAGCACUCACGCC